GAUGAACGCUGGCGGCGUGCCUAAUACAUGCAAGUCGAGCGAACAGAUAAGGAGCUUGCUCCUUUGACGUUAGCGGCGGACGGGUGAGUAACACGUGGGUAACCUACCUAUAAGACUGGGAUAACUUCGGGAAACCGGAGCUAAUACCGGAUAACAUUUGGAACCGCAUGGUUCUAAAGUGAAAGAUGGUUUUGCUAUCACUUAUAGAUGGACCCGCGCCGUAUUAGCUAGUUGGUAAGGUAACGGCUUACCAAGGCGACGAUACGUAGCCGACCUGAGAGGGUGAUCGGCCACACUGGAACUGAGACACGGUCCAGACUCCUACGGGAGGCAGCAGUAGGGAAUCUUCCGCAAUGGGCGAAAGCCUGACGGAGCAACGCCGCGUGAGUGAUGAAGGGUUUCGGAUCGUAAAACUCUGUUAUUAGGGAAGAACAAACGUGUAAGUAACUAUGCACGUCUUGACGGUACCUAAUCAGAAAGCCACGGCUAACUACGUG
rnacentral:rRNA from 1 species